UACGAAGGGGGCUAGCGUUGCUCGGAAUCACUGGGCGUAAAGCGCACGUAGGCGGAUUGUUAAGUCGGGGGUGAAAUCCUGGAGCUCAACUCCAGAACUGCCUUCGAUACUGGCGAUCUUGAGUCCGGGAGAGGUGAGUGGAACUCCGAGUGUAGAGGUGAAAUUCGUAGAUAUUCGGAAGAACACCAGUGGCGAAGGCGGCCCACUGGAUCGGUACUGACGCUGAGGUGCGAAAGCGUGGGGAGCAAACAGG
rnacentral:rRNA from 1 species